rnacentral:rRNA from 1 species
AUGGGGAAUAUUGGACAAUGGGCGAAAGCCUGAUCCAGCCAUGCCGCGUGUGUGAAGAAGGUCUUCGGAUUGUAAAGCACUUUAAGUUGGGAGGAAGGGCAGUAAGUUAAUACCUUGCUGUUUUGACGUUACCGACAGAAUAAGCACCGGCUAACUUCGUGCCAGCAGCCGCGGUAAUACGAAGGGUGCAAGCGUUAAUCGGAAUUACUGGGCGUAAAGCGCGCGUAGGUGGUUUUGUAAGUUGGAGGUGAAAUCCCCGGGCUCAACCUGGGAACUGCCUCCAAAACUGCAUGACUAGAGUACGGUAGAGGGUAGUGGAAUUUCCUGUGUAGCGGUGAAAUGCGUAGAUAUAGGAAGGAACACCAGUGGCGAAGGCGACUACCUGGACUGAUACUGACACUGAGGUGCGAAAGCGUGGGGAGCAAACAGGAUUAGAAACCCGUGUAGUCC